rnacentral:rRNA from 1 species
UACGUAGGGGGCAAGCGUUAUCCGGAUUUACUGGGUGUAAAGGGUGCGUAGGCGGCUUUGCAAGUCAGAAGUGAAAUCCAUGGGCUUAACCCAUAAACUGCUUUUGAAACUGCAGAGCUUGAGUGGAGUAGAGGUAGGCGGAAUUCCCGGUGUAGCGGUGAAAUGCGUAGAGAUCAGGAGGAACACCAGUGGCGAAGGCGGCCUACUGGACGGUGACUGACGCUGAGGCUCGAAAGCGUGGGGAGCAAACAGG